AUAGUCUAAGUUUAAUUAGGCUAUAUAUUUGUUGGGGGUCCUUCAAUACCAACUCCUCUAAUGAGAAACCCAAUGAAUUGAGUUUACCAUUGAUUAUAUUCCACCACUCUAAGCUUUGGACCUCAACUAAGGCCCUAUGCAUUAUAACUCUGUUAGAAAAGA